rnacentral:rRNA from 1 species
AACGAACGCUGGCGGCAUGCCUAACACAUGCAAGUCGAACGAGACCUUCGGGUCUAGUGGCGCACGGGUGCGUAACGCGUGGGAAUCUGCCCUUGGGUUCGGAAUAACAGUGAGAAAUUACUGCUAAUACCGGAUGAUGUCUUCGGACCAAAGAUUUAUCGCCCAGGGAUGAGCCCGCGUAGGAUUAGCUAGUUGGUGGGGUAAUGGCCUACCAAGGCGACGAUCCUUAGCUGGUCUGAGAGGAUGAUCAGCCACACUGGGACUGAGACACGGCCCAGACUCCUACGGGAGGCAGCAGUGGGGAAUAUUGGACAAUGGGCGCAAGCCUGAUCCAGCAAUGCCGCGUGAGUGAUGAAGGCCUUAGGGUUGUAAAGCUCUUUUACCCGGGAUGUUAAUGACAGUACCGGGAGAAUAAGCUCCGGCUAACUCCGUG